rnacentral:rRNA from 1 species
CCUACGGGUGGCAGCAGUAGGGAAUCUUCCACAAUGGACGAAAGUCUGAUGGAGCAACGCCGCGUGAGGGAUGAAGGGUUUCGGCUCGUAAAACACUGUUGUAAGAGAAGAAUGACAUUGAGAGUAACCGUUCAGUGCGUGACGGUAUGUUACCAGAAAGGAAUGGCUAAAUACGUGACAGCAGCCGAGGUAAUCCGUAUGUUCGAAGCGCUAUCCGGAUUUAUUGGGCGUAAAGCGAGGGCAGACGGUUGUUUAAGUCCGAAGUGAAAGCCCACAGCUUAACUGUGGAAGUGCUUUGGAAACUGGAUAACUUGAGUGCAGUAGAGGAGAGUGGAACUCCAUGUGUAGCGGCGAAAUGCGGAGAUAUAUGGAAGAACACCAGUGGCGAAGGCGGCUCUCUGGACUGUAACUGACGUUGAGGCUCGAAAGUGUGGGUAGCAAACAGGAUUAGAUACCCCUGUAGUC